GAGUGCAAAAAGUGCUAUAAACGCGAACAGAUCCAAAUUGUAGGAAUGGAGAAAUUCUCCACGCAUGCGACUACUCGAUAAUUAAUCGAUGUUGUUAAGUCUGGCCGCCAUGUUCGUAUUUACAUAGUACUAAAUAGACCGACAGACGUAAUUGUUGGUGAUGAAACAUAAAACGUUAGAACAUGAUUUGACACGCAACUAUUUAAUUCCAUCUGAUGACGAACUUACUUAAUUUGAAAGGAGAUACCGAGUUAUAUUAAUUACAACGCACAAACGACAGUGCAAGAAAACAAUCCAAAAGCUAUCAAUCUUGCAAUUUAUAUACAUAUAUAUAAUAUAUUUCUGCAGUUAUUAUUUACGAGAAAAAUGUGGUUAUAUUUUAUACUCGUCAUAUUCGGCAUUUUUGAUGUCGCAAUGGCUUCCAAUUUUGAUUUCGGUGAUACUCUAGCAUUGAUUUUAGGGUUAACUAUAGCGAUUAUCGGAUUCUUCGCCUGUUUGGGGGCUUACGCACGAAGGCGAAGUUUUGAAUCUUUGUGAUGCUUUACAAUCUGUUUAAAUAUACCUAACACAUAAAAGAAUUCUGCAAAGAAGAUGAUGGCCAAAAGGAGUAAUUUCUGUAGAUGGAAAAGAGAGAAACAGUUCUAAAAUUCAAUGAUUAUUUUUGAAAUAUAAUGUAUUAAGAUUGUAUAUAAUAUCCAAUAUAUAUCUAUUGUAUAAUAAAAAAUAUGAAUAAUAAA